rnacentral:rRNA from 1 species
CCUACGGGAGGCAGCAGUGGGGAAUAUUGCACAAUGGGGGGAACCCUGAUGCAGCGACGCCGCGUGGGUGAAGGAGUAUUUCGGUAUGUAAAGCCCUAUCAGCAGGGAAGAACAAUGACGGUACCUGACUAAGAAGCACCGGCUAAAUACGUGCCAGCAGCCGCGGUAAUACGUAUGGUGCAAGCGUUAUCCGGAUUUACUGGGUGUAAAGGGAGCGCAGGCGGCGCGUUAAGCCUGGUGUGAAAGUCCGCGGCCCAACCGCGGGACUGCAUGGGGAACUGGCGCGCUGGAGUGCCGGAGGGGUAGGCGGAAGUCCUAGUGUAGCGGUGAAAUGCGUAGAUAUUAGGAGGAACACCAGUGGCGAAGGCGGCCUACUGGACGGUGACUGACGCUGAGGCUCGAAAGCGUGGGGAGCAAACAGGAUUAGAUACCCCUGUAGUC